rnacentral:lncRNA from 1 species
AACACCCAGGAGUAUCAGCCUCUAAACACUGGCUUCUGGGGUGGAUUUCCUUUGGGGGAACCAACAGUCGUGUUUGAUCCUACUUCAUGGCUGGAAUGGGGCAAGAACAGAAGUGGCCCUGAGAAGACAGGCACAUCCAUUUCCUAACUCUGACGGACCAGUAAAAAUCACUGAAAAGUGGCAGCCAUCUUUGUCUCCCCCUCACUCGCCCCGCUUCAUCCAUGAAGAGUCCAGAUGCUGUGGAUUCUGCGUCUCCAGUCUCCCAAAAAUCUGACAAGAACCUGCAGCUGCACUGGUUAUAGUCUCAGACUGUGAUUCCCCAGCCAGGUGCCAGGACAAUGGCUAUCUAUUAAUAUCCUAUGCCAGCUGUUACCUCAACAUGUGGGAUGCCCAGGCAUUGGGGAGAAAGACUCUAUUUUGUCUGCGGCCUCCCCUUACAUUUUUGUUAUUUACCGAAUUUAAUCUUCAAAACAAGCCUGGAGGCAUUACUGUCCACAUGUUUGCAAAUAAGGACACAGGCUGAAGGAGGAAGAGCUGAGACACACUCAAUAUUCCAGGAGCCAAACUUGAGAUCUCAGAGUCAGAUAUAAACUUAGUUUUUCAAGAAAACUACAUGGAAAAUUACUGUUGACUAUUGCUCGUCUGGGGAGCCCAAACUUACUGGCAAUGAGGAAACUACUCCAGUGAGACCUCUGAAUCCUCUGAUUUGCUGAAUUUGAGGGGUGUUUGGAGGUGGGGUGGGGAAUAGGAGUUCUAUAGCAAGAGCUUAAAAGGCUGUUGUAUAUGUCAACAAGUUAGAGAGUAUCUCAAGGAAGCCAAUGUAAAAAGUCUACACUUUUUAGCUUUUUAACAUUCUCAACCUUUUGAACCCAGUAUCUUUUUUUGAUAAACAUAAAAAGCUCAUAUACUCUGUUAUGGGGUGAAUUGUGUCCCCUCCCUCUCCCCAAAUAUGUUGGAUUCCUAAUUCUCAGCAUCUGCAAAAGUGACAUUAUUUUAAUAUUAAAAAAGUGAAAAGUGUUAGUGGCUCAGUCAUGUCCAGCUCUGUGUAACACCGUGCACUGUAGCCUGCCAGGCUCCUCUGUCCAUGGGAUUUCCCAGGCAAGAAGACUGGAGUGAGUAGCCAUUCACUUCUCCAGGGGAAUCUUUCCAACUCUGUGAUCAAACCUAGGUCUCCUGCAUUGCAGGCAGAUUCUUUACCGUCUGAGCCACCUUGCAAAUGAUCAAGUUGAGGUCAUUAGGGUGGGCCCUAGUCUAAUAUAACUAUAUCCUUAUGCAUGCUUAGUCACUUCAGUCAUGUCUGACUCUUCUGCGGCCCUUUGGACUGUAGUCCACCAGGCUCCUCCAUCCAUGGAGUUCUCCAGGCAAGAAUACUGGCGUGGGCUGCCAUGCCCUCCUCCAGGGAAUCUUCCUGACCCAAGAAUCAAACCUUUGUCUCCUGUAUUGCAGGUGGAUUCUCUACCACCAACAUCAUCUGGGAAGCCCACAUCAUCAUAAAAUGGGAAAAUCUGGACACAAACACUGUCACACAAGAUGAACGCUAUGUGAAGAUGAAGGCCAAAAUCAGGGUCCUGCAUCUGCAAGUCCAGAGAGGUAUGAAACAGGUUCUCCACUGAAGCAGCCAAACCUGCUGACACUUGAUCUUGGACUUCUAGCCUCUGCUGCUGCUGCUGCUAAGUCACUUCAGUCGUGUCCGGCUCUGUGUGACCCCAUAGACAGCAGCCCACCAGGCUCCCCCGUCCCUGGGAUUCUCCAGGCAAGAACACUGGAGUGGGUUGCCAUUUCCUUCUCCAAUGCAUGAAAGUGAAAAGUGAAAGUGAAGUAGCUCAGUCGUAUCCGACCCUCAGCGACCCCAUGGACUGCAGCCUACCAGGCUCCUCCGUCCAUGGGAUUUUCCAGGCAAGAGUGCUGGAGUGGGGUGCCACUGCCUUCUCCUUCUAGCCUCUAUAACUGCAAGAAAAUGAUUUCUGUUGUUUUAAGCCACCCAGUUCGUAGUACUUUGUUAUGGCAGCUCUAGCAAGCUAAUACACAUAAUUUUCCUUUUUUUAGGUUUUAAUUUUUAAAUACAGAUUCAUAGCAAUUUAUUUUUCCAAUUAUUUUCAAAUCUCAAACAGACUUGUAGGAAUG